UACAGAGGUCUCAAGCGUUGUUCGGAUUCAUUGGGCGUAAAGGGUGCGUAGGCGGCGCGGUAAGUCGGGGUGUGAAAUCUUGGAGCUUAACUCCGAAACUGCAUUCGAUACUGCCGUGCUUGAGGACUGGAGAGGAGACUGGAAUUUACGGUGUAGCGGUGAAAUGCGUAGAUAUCGUAAGGAAGACCAGUGGCGAAGGCGGGUCUCUGGACAGUUCCUGA
rnacentral:rRNA from 1 species